rnacentral:rRNA from 1 species
UACGAAGGGGGCUAGCGUUGCUCGGAAUCACUGGGCGUAAAGCGCACGUAGGCGGCUUUCUAAGUCAGGGGUGAAAUCCUGGAGCUCAACUCCAGAACUGCCUUUGAUACUGGAGAGCUUGAGUCCGGAAGAGGUGAGUGGAACUCCGAGUGUAGAGGUGAAAUGCGCAGAUAUCAGGAAGAACACCAAUGGCGAAGGCAGCUCUCUGGGACGGUACUGACGCUGAGACGCGAAAGCGUGGGGAGCGAACAGG